AGUGAACGCUGGCGGUAGGCCUAACACAUGCAAGUCGAACGGCAGCACAGUAAGAGCUUGCUCUUACGGGUGGCGAGUGGCGGACGGGUGAGGAAUACAUCGGAAUCUACUUUUUCGUGGGGGAUAACGUAGGGAAACUUACGCUAAUACCGCAUACGACCUACGGGUGAAAGCAGGGGAUCUUCGGACCUUGCGCGAUUGAAUGAGCCGAUGUCGGAUUAGCUAGUUGGCGGGGUAAAGGCCUACCAAGGCGACGAUCCGUAGCUGGUCUGAGAGGAUGAUCAGCCACACUGGAACUGAGACACGGUCCAGACUCCUACGGGAGGCAGCAGUGGGGAAUAUUGGACAAUGGGCGCAAGCCUGAUCCAGCCAUACCGCGUGGGUGAAGAAGGCCUUCGGGUUGUAAAGCCCUUUUGUUGGGAAAGAAAAGCAGCAGGUUAAUACCCCGCUGUUCUGACGGUACCCAAAGAAUAAGCACCGGCUAACUUCGG
rnacentral:rRNA from 1 species